rnacentral:lncRNA from 1 species
UAAUAGAUCGCUGAUGUUCCUCUUGGGAAAUGAGAGCAAACACUUCAUUUAUUGAUGGAAUAGGAUCCAUCAUCAGUAUUUGUGCUCUAACUUGGGCAAAUGAAUCAUUUAAUCCCAUCAAAAAAGACAUCACAUACUCUGUAUGGUAAUGAUCAACCAAUUUCUUUGUACCUCCACAAUUACAUUUUCCACAAGAACAAGCUGGCCGAUAAUUGCUGAGUUCCUCCCAAAUCGUUUUCAAUUUUGUGAAGUAAACACCUACUGAUGAUUGACCUUGAGUGAGAUUCAUAAGCUCUCUUCUUAGUUGAAAUAUGCGCGGGCCAUUUCUUUGCUAGUAUCUCUCCUUGAGGUCUUCCCAGACUUAUUGUGUAGAUUCGACAUAGAUUACACUUGCUGAGAUCUCCUUAUAAAUAGAGUUAAGGAUCUAUGAAAUAACCAUAUUGUUAUUUCAGUUCUAGAUUCAACUCAAGAUUUUCAGGUUUUGCUAUGGGUCCAUCAAUAAAUCCCAUCUUAUUUUUCACUGAUAGAGCAAUUGUCAUAGAU